rnacentral:misc_RNA from 1 species
UUUCCGUAGGUGAACCUGCGGAAGGAUCAUUACAGAGUUCAUGCCCUCACGGGUAGAUCUCCCACCCUUGAAUAUUUAUACCUUAGUUGCUUUGGCAGGCCGUGGAAACACCAUGGGCUCCGGCUUAUGCGUGCCUGCCAGAGGAAGCAAACUCUGUUUUUAGUGAUGUCUGAGUACUAUAUAAUAGUUAAAGCUUUCAACAACGGAUCUCUUGGUUCUG